rnacentral:rRNA from 1 species
GGGUGAGUAACGCGUAUCCAACCUGCCCAUCACUUGGGGAUAACCUUGCGAAAGUAAGACUAAUACCCAAUGACGUCUCUAGAAGACAUCUGAAAGGGAUUAAAGAUUUAUCGGUGAUGGAUGGGGAUGCGUCUGAUUAGCUUGUUGGCGGGGUAACGGCCCACCAAGGCGACGAUCAGUAGGGGUUCUGAGAGGAAGGUCCCCCACAUUGGAACUGAGACACGGUCCAAACUCCUACGGGAGGCAGCAGUGAGGAAUAUUGGUCAAUGGGCGAGAGCCUGAACCAGCCAAGUAGCGUGCAGGAAGACGGCCCUAUGGGUUGUAAACUGCUUUUAUAAGGGAAUAAAGUGAGUCUCGUGAGACUUUUUGCAUGUACCUUAUGAAUAAGGACCGGCUAAUUCCGUGCCAGCAGCCGCGGUAAUACGGAAGGUCCGGGCGUUAUCCGGAUUUAUUGGGUUUAAAGGGAGCGUAGGCCGGAGAUUAAGCGUGUUGUGAAAUGUAGACGCUCAACGUCUGCACUGCAGCGCGAACUGGUUUCCUUGAGUACGCACAAAGUGGGCGGAAUUCGUGGUGUAGCGGUGAAAUGCUUAGAUAUCACGAAGAACUCCGAUUGCGAAGGCAGCUCACUGGAGCGCAACUGACGCUGAAGCUCGAAAGUGCGGGUAUCGAACAGGAUUAGAUACCCUGGUAGUCCGCACGGUAAACGAUGGAUGCCCGCUGUUGGUCUGAA